UAGGGAAUCUUCCACAAUGGACGCAAGUCUGAUGGAGCAACGCCGCGUGAGUGAAGAAGGUUUUCGGAUCGUAAAGCUCUGUUGUUGGUGAAGAAGGAUAGAGGCAGUAACUGGUCUUUAUUUGACGGUAAUAAACCAGAUAGUCACGGCUAACUACGUGCCAGCAGCCGCGGUCAUACGUAGGUGGCAAGCGUUGUCCGGAUUUAUUGGGCGUAAAGCGAGCGCAGGCGGAAUGAUAAGUCUGAUGUGAAAGCCCACGGCUCAACCGUGGAACUGCAUCGGAAACUGUCAUUCUUGAGUGCAGAAGAGGGGAGUGGAAUUCCAUGUGUAGCGGUGGAAUGCGUAGAUAUAUGGAAGAACACCAGUGGCGAAGGCGGCUCUCUGGUCUGCAACUGACGCUGAGGCUCGAAAGCAUGGGUAGCGAACAGG
rnacentral:rRNA from 1 species